AAAGUCGUAACAAGGUUUCCGUAGGUGAACCUGCGGAAGGAUCAUUAUUAGUGUGUUUCUCUACACUUUAUCCAUUGGACCAUACACCUGUGUUGUUGUGUUAUAUCCAGCGUGGUAUGUGUCGUGUGCGUCAUGUACGUCAUGUACGCGCGCACAGGAUGCUGCCCGCCUAAAACAUCCACUUCUCUCCCGCGCGCCGGGAGAACAAAACAUUUUUAUUCUUUCUAUGUGUGUGUGGUGUGUACCAUAUGUACCAUAUACAAACAGUAAUAAUACAACUGUUAGCAAUGGAUCACUUGGUUCUC
rnacentral:misc_RNA from 1 species